UACGGAGGGUGCAAGCGUUAUCCGGAUUCACUUGGGUUUAAAAGGGGUGCGUAGGUGGCUUUUGUAAGUCAGUGGUGAAAUGCCCGGAGCUCAACUCCGGAACUGCCAUUGAUACUGCUUAGCUUGAAUCACGUUCGAGGUGGAUGGAAUAAUUACAUGUAGCGGUGAAAUGCUUAGAUAUGUAUUAGAACACCGAUUGCGAAGCAGUUCACUAGGCGUGUAUUGACACUGAGGCACGAAAGCGGUGGGGAAUCAAACAGG
rnacentral:rRNA from 1 species